AAAAGUACCGCCAUCGAGCCGAGAGCUGACGAGGCAAGACGAGGAAGGCCGAGGUGAUACGAUACACUCUCAUACUCGGCUGUUCUCGAGACAUCUCGCCGAUUGUGUAGAGCGGGCAUUACGAUUAGUAUAUUUUUCGAUCUUCGGUGCGUAAUGUUAUCACUUGCUUCCUCUAUUCAUAUAUUUGUUCACUGUGUUAUGACCAUGAAGUGCUACGAAGGUUAGAAGUAAAAGUAGAGGACCUCUUCCUGAGCAGCGCAAAACAGUGUAUUCAUUCGAUUCAAUGACGCUUUUCACACGAGACACGAUGGGACGAGCGUCAUUAUACGUACGAAGGAGACACGGAAGGGAUCGGUGAUCCAAAGGGCCCACCUGUUGCAGUAGCUGUUCUAACAACUCGUUACGCUGAUCAACACACCAGUGCACAGUCCAUCUGAAAUCUACUUUCUUUGAGUUCGUGCAAGGGCAUACAGUUUUGGGAGGCUGAAGUGUAGGAGCAGCGGAAAAGGAACGAGAGAGAAGCGACUUCCAGGACAGGGGACAAGCUUUUUGCCUGCACGGAUGUCGACGAGUGCUCCCGCAUCCGCUGGUAUGGAGGGAACGGGAGAGCAGCUUCUACAUAUUUGAUGCGAUUUUAAUGUCUCUCUGCCUGGCAUAUCCGCGUCCUGUGCACCAAUAGCACCAGAAACACCACGUUGGCGCACCAGACACGAGUGACUGCCGUGAUGCUCUAAUCGGCUUACGCAACAAGCCACCCUUAUCCCUACGUUCCCAUCACAGCUCCCGAGCGCCCUCACCUCGCCCACCGAACGAACAACAUCUUCCACCCCGACCAUCGUCUUCGACAACGUACCCUGUUAUUCUGCGGUUGGAUGCUACUUUUCUACCCGCGAUCCUCCUUCCUGCCUGCUUUUUGUCUUCUAAAAUAUAUAUGUACUUAUGCGACCAGUUGUUUUCCUUUUUUCGAAAAAGCUCCCGAUGUUUUAUCGUGGACCGAAUACAGCAUUUUCUCCUACUUUACAGUUUUCUUAUUUUCUUACUGCAGGGGUUUUAAUGGGAACGUUACUGGCAGAAAUAUUAAAUUGCUCAUUAAAGGGUGGAGACGCUUUGAAGGCUUAGGGAAAAGAAAUGGUGCCUA